UACAGAGGUCUCAAGCGUUGUUCGGAUUCAUUGGGCGUAAAGGGUGCGUAGGUGGCGGGGUAAGUCAGGUGUGAAAUCUCGGGGCUCAACCUCGAAACUGCACUUGAUACUGCCCUGCUCGAGUACUGGAGAGGAGAUUGGAAUUUACGGUGUAGCAGUGAAAUGCGUAGAUAUCGUAAGGAAGACCAGUGGCGAAGGCGAAUCUCUGGACAGUUACUGACACUGAGGCACGAAGGCCAGGGGAGCAAACGGG
rnacentral:rRNA from 1 species